GCUGUAGCUCAAUGGUAGAGCAUCUGCUCUGCAUGCAAAAGGUCUUGGGUUCAAAUCCCGGCAUCUCCU